UCCAGCAGCGGUGACGUCAGGGUGAGAUCUGCUGCUGUGAACACAGCCAGCUCAUGUUUGUGUUUGUGUCCCAGCAUUAACUCUUGAUGUCUUCCACAGAUCUUUCAGCUUAAUUCAUUAAAAAGUUGCUUACCAAUGAAAAGAAGUCAGCUCAAACCAAACACUGAGUAUUAUAUUAAAGCAAAAUUUAAGCCUGAUGAGAAAAAUAUAUAUAAAGCAACAUGGAGUGAAUGGAGCGAAUCAAUAAAUUGGACAAAUGAAGACCCAUCAGAACCAGAAAACAUUUCCAUCAUUCUGCUGAAAUAUCUGAGCCCUGUGUUUGUGCUCAUUAUUGCUUUUCUGGUUGUCUUCUACACUCCUGCUGCACGACUGAAGAUAAAGUCUCUGUCCCACACUCCAUCAC